GUCAAGUCGGAAGACGGCCCAUAGGGACCUAAGACACGACUCGAGGCCCAUCCUACGAUUUCUUAACCAAAAGCCCGUAAACCACAGAACGGUUUACGCUUGGUCCACAAGGAAGGAUAAAUGUCAAGUUUCCGCGGAUAAAUUCGAAAGUUUUGAAGAAAAUUGUGAAGAUCGGGAAAAAUGGAAUAUCUCCGUUUUUAUGCUAUGACGGCUUAUGGGCAGAAAUGUAAAAGUGUAAACCGACCUUCGCGCUAGUAUAUAAGGAGUCCUAGGCGAGGAGCAUAAGGAAAAGAGAACUUUGUCAGAGCAAACUUAGCACUUAGAGAAAUUUAGGCAUUUUUCCGUUUUUGUUAUUUCGAGCUGCGACUCAAUUAGGUUAUUGCCAUCUUAGGGUUUUAGAACAACGAAUCUCGCCGACAGCCCUCGUGGCCCAGGCUCUUACCUUGCUGUAACGCUCAAACACGAAUUCGGAAUAAGAUCUACUUUGCUCUCUUUUCGAUUUCUUAUACUUUAUCGUUGUUAUUCUCGUGUUCUAAUUGCUUGACGUGUGGUAUUAGCAGAUAUCUGGGACCUCAGGGAAAUUAGAGUUUUCCUAGUUUCCUUAUUUAAACGGAAAUCGACAGUGCUAAUUUUGGUUCCCACAA